CUACGGGCGGCUGCAGUGAGGAAUAUUGCACAAUGGGGGGAACCCUGAUGCAGCAACGCCGCGUGGAGGAUGACGCAUUUCGGUGUGUAAACUCCUUUUAUAUGUCAAGAAAAUGACGGUAGCAUAUGAAUAAGCACCGGCUAACUCCGUGCCAGCAGCCGCGGUAAUACGGGGGGUGCAAGCGUUACUCGGAAUCACUGGGCGUAAAGGACGCGUAGGCGGGUUGGAAAGUCAGGUGUGAAAUCCUACAGCUUAACUGUAGAACUGCACUUGGAACUUAUAAUCUAGAGGAUGGGAGGGGGAGAUGGAAUUAGUGGUGUAGGGGUAAAAUCCGUAGAUAUCACUAGGAAUACCUAAAGCGAAGGCGAUCUCCUGGAACAUUACUGACGCUAAGGCGUGAAAGCGUGGGGAGCAAACAGGAUUAGAUACCCUCGUAGUC
rnacentral:rRNA from 1 species